rnacentral:rRNA from 1 species
AUACGGAGGAUCCGAGCGUUAUCCGGAUUUAUUGGGUUUAAAGGGAGCGUAGGUGGAUUGUUAAGUCAGUUGUGAAAGUUUGCGGCUCAACCGUAAAAUUGCAGUCGAAACUGGCAGUCUUGAGUACAGUAGAGGUGGGUGGAAUUCGUGGUGUAGCGGUGAAAUGCUUAGAUAUCACGAAGAACUCCGAUUGCGAAGGCAGCUCACUAGACUGUUACUGACACUGAUGCUCGAAAGUGUGGGUAUCAAACAGGAUUAGAUACCCUGGUAGUCCACACAGUAAACGAUGAAUACUCGCUGUUUGCGAUAUACAGUAAGCGGCCAAGCGAAAGCAUUAAGUAUUCCACCUGGGGAGUACGCCGGCAACGGUGAAACUCAAAGGAAUUGACGGGG